CCUUACAGUGGUGAGUGCCGUGUCAACGCCUAAACCAUUGCGGCCAGCGACGCCCCUAACAAUUAUUAUUGUUCCACUUUUCAUAAUUAUUGUUAUGAAGUUCCAAUUACACACUUCCUCUAUACACUUAUGCACUUAGCGAAUGGAAUAUUGUUGAAUAUUCGCUCAACUUAGGCUGACUUUGGACACAAAAAAAGGACAUAAUUAUUUAUCCGAUCAGGGGAUAUUCUGCCUUGCACGCGUUCUAAAGUGCCGGUGUUUUUGAAAAAAAGCCGUUUUGUGAGUAUGUCGGGUUCGAAUGCAGAGCGGCUGGAUUCGAACCCGCAACCUUUAACUAACAGUGAUGAGUUAUCUAUUGCAUUCACUAUACAAUAAGUAUUGUACUGACGACUUACUAUCUAAACUACAUACUUGUACUGACUCCUUGACGAACAAAAAUAAAAUACAUAAAUAAAAAAUAUUUAAAAAAUAAAGAAAGCAAUUUCACCGCA